GGCGGCUAGGCCGGGGCCGAGCGCGCGGCCGGCCAUGGAGGUGGAGGAGGCGUUCCAGGCGGUGGGCGAGAUGGGCAUCUACCAGAUGUACCUGUGCUUCCUGCUGGCGGUGUUGCUGCAGCUCUAUGUGGCCACGGAGGCCAUCCUCAUUGCGCUGGUCGGGGCCACACCGUCGUACCACUGGGACCUGGCGGAGCUCCUGCCGAACCAGAGCCACAGCAACCGGUCGGCUGGUGAGGACCAGGCGCUCGGGGCCUGGCUCCUGACGGCCAACGGCAGCGAGAUGCACAAGCACGUGCACUUCAGCAGCAGUUUCACCUCCAUCGCCUCCGAGUGGUUUUUAAUUGCCAACAGAUCUUACAAAGUGAGUGCAGCAAGCUCUUUUUUCUUCAGUGGUGUGUUUGUGGGAGUUAUCUCAUUUGGUCAGCUCUCAGAUCGGUUCGGAAGGAAAAAAGUCUAUCUCACAGGUUGUGCUCUUGACAUCUUAUUUGCUAUCGCAAAUGGGUUUUCCCCCUCAUAUGAGUUCUUUGCAGUAACUCGCUUCCUGGUGGGCGUGAUGAAUGGAGGGAUGUCGCUGGUGGCCUUUGUCCUGCUGAACGAAUGUGUGGGCACCGCCUACUGGGCACUCGCAGGGUCGAUCGGUGGCCUCUUCUUCGCAGUCGGCAUCGCCCAGUAUGCCCUGUUGGGAUACUUCGUCCGCUCCUGGAGAACCCUAGCCAUUCUGGUUAACCUGCAGGGAACAGUGGUCUUUCUCUUAUCUUUAUUCAUUCCUGAAUCACCUCGUUGGUUAUACUCCCAGGGUCGACUGCGUGAGGCUGAAGCCGCGCUGCACCUCAUCGCCAAGAGGAACCGCCAGCUCAAGUGUACCUUCUCACUAACACACCCGGACAGCAGGAGCUGCAGGGAGACGGGAAGUGUCCUGGACCUGUUCCGCUACCGGGUCCUCUUGGGGCAUACUCUGACCCUGAUGUUCAUCUGGUUUGUGUGCAGCUUGGUGUAUUAUGGCCUAACUCUCAGUGCAGGUGAUCUAGGUGGAAAUAUUUAUGCCAACUUGGCCUUGUCUGGCCUCAUAGAGAUUCCAUCUUACCCUAUCUGCAUCUACUUGAUUAACCAAAAAUGGUUUGGUCGGAAGCGGACAUUAGCAACAUUUCUGUGCCUAGGAGGACUGGCUUGUCUUAUUGUCAUGUUUCUUCCAGAAAAGAAAGAUGUGGCACUUGUCCUCCUCAGACACAGGUGUGUUCGCAGUGGUGAACAGCCAUUCCUUGUCCCUGCUGGGGAAGCUGACCAUCAGUGCUGCCUUCAAUGUCGUGUAUAUCUACACCUCGGAGCUGUACCCCACGGUCAUCAGGAAUGUUGGGCUUGGAACUUGUUCCAUGUUCUCCCGAGUUGGUGGGAUUAUUGCUCCCUUCAUCCCCUCACUGAAGUACGUGCAGUGGUCUUUACCCUUCAUUGUCUUUGGAGCCACGGGGCUGACCUCAGGCCUCCUGAGUUUAUUAUUGCCAGAAACCCUUAACAGUCCAUUGCUAGAGACGUUUUCUGACCUUCAGGUGUACUCAUAUCGGAGGCUGGGGGAGGAGGCGUUAUCUUUACAGACCUUGGAUCCCCCUCAGUCUGUGGACAAGGAGAGCCCUUUAGGGAGUGAGAGUGAGGAAGAGGAAGAGUUUUACGAUGCGGAUGAAGAGACACAGAUGAUCAAGUGACGUGCCCCAGAUUCCUCCUCAGACGCAGAGGGUCAUCUUCUCUGCCUCCAACGAGGGCAGGUUCUCCCAGGAAACUGAAGGGAGCUGUGGAAAGAUAGGCCUGAACAAACAUCGAAGGUACUCAGUGUGGCCUGAUGUUUUUUAGGCACGAAGGAAGUUGGAGAAGGGAUUUCAAGAAACAGGACAUCACUGCAUCAAGGGAAUAGUUGUUAACUGCCCACAAUUUGGGUUUAGCUCAAAAUCAUGACCUCUGGCCAGAUUGCUGAAGUCCACAUGCCAGAGUGGUAAGCUCAUUUGUUUCUAGAAGUUUGAUUACGUUGCCUUUCAGCUUCAUAGUGGCCUAAAGGCAAAUAUGUAAAAUUUCUUCUCACCAUUAACACGUAAUCUCUUUUGAGGCAGGUUGGUGUUAGCAUUUCAUUCACUUUUGUGCCAGAAGAAAAGCACUGAGAGGUCAUUUGUGUGGCCUGAGGCCCUCCACCUUCAUCCCAACGGAUGAAAUUUGGGUCCCCAGCUUGGUUCCUGGCCCAGUGAUUGGCUUGAGCUCCCUGUGCUUUCAGUCAGUCCCACAGAUGACCCGCUAGGAAAAGCCAGCUGCACCAGCGUAAUGUUCAGAGUCUGAGGUGUGGCUGCCUCUCCCUGGCAGCUCCCUUUGAUACUCGAAUUGUGUAAUUUCUUCAGUUCCCACUUGUGUGCACCUGGAGAAAAAUUUCCAUCUCAGAUUCUAGUACCAGCAAUAACUUCCAAACCAUGCCCAGUAAACGACGAAGUUUUAUAAAGGGGAGGGCAGCUAAAAAGUGACAUGUCAAGACUUUGGAUGUUAAAAAGGAAAAAAAAUGCUGUUUUUAAUAAGGAAGAAAAGAAAAUUAUCUUUCACCAUUUUCUGUUUGUUUUGUUUUCAGUGUUGUACAAGGAGGGACUUGGGCAACAUUUAAGAACUUGAACUCUUCUAGUCCUAGAUCAGCUCCAGCCUGUUUGGUUAGCUAGAAUGGAAGGCUCAGUAAUUUCCUAGUAAAUGUUGGUUUUCAUUAAGUACUGCCAGCUUUCAAAUAAAUCAAAGUCGUACUGUUUCCUAAAAUCAUGUGCUGAAAGUGUUUCCCAUGAAACCUGGGUAUUAUCUCAAAUAGGAGUGUUAACCUGGAGUCAACAAGCUUGGACAGUGUUACUUUAGGUCACUUUCCCAACUGGGAAAAUUUCUGUGUUUUCAGAAUUUCCAUUUCUGUUAAUCCCUUGGAGAAAAAGAAAUUUCACUGGAGAUAAAGAGAAGUCAUCACUGAGUCUGUUUCUGGAAAUCUUGGAGGACUCACCUCACAUUGGCUCCAACCCUGUCCUGUCCUCUUCCAUUGACAUCUUGGUUUGCACUAUACCAGCUUGUACCUUUGUUAAAGUAUUUUUAUGUCCUUCAUGCCCUUGAUUAUGUAUUGGGCUCUUUAUAAAUAGGGGCCAUCUCUAAUGCUGUUUAUUUCUCGCUGCUGUGCCCAGAACACAGUAAGUAUUACUGUUUCUAGCCAUCAGGGAAAUUGUAGAACUCCUCCCAGUAUCAUUUUUGUAAAUCACAGGCAAAUCUGACCCAAACUCCCAAAUUGUGGAAUCUCGCUGUCUUUCUCUGGGAAAUGGAGACCCUGCCCACCAUCAAGAGAGGAAGAAAGGAAGAACUUACAAGGACACUUAGAAGCUCUUCAUUGUGAAGUUAAACGUAAAACAAGAAACCAACACAUAGGUGAUUCUUGGUUGGUUGGAGCCCUCUUUGCAUUAUAAGAGUAAUAAUCCCAUUAUAAAAACAUGUGGAAACUAGAAGUUUAAAAAUGUAUUAGUCAUAGGCCCAACACCCAGAGACAACCAGUGUCAUGGCUUUGGUCUCUUUGAAGACCAACUGGGAAUCCAUCUUUCUAUUGGCACUGGGGUUCCCUCUGCCUCUGGCUAGAUAAUUGAGGAUUCCAUUAGUUCUGCCCCUGGGUAUCCUCUUUUCCCAGCUCCAGGGUAGAAGAAGGGAGGGAAGGGUACACAGUUUGAACACAUGUUGCUAAGGCUGGGCUAUCAGCUGCUCACGUCAGAUGUGUCACUAAAUUUUGUUUCUUCCUAGAUGGUCUUUUGGCAAAGUUUAAUAAUUACUGUUUUGGGGACUUCCCUGGUGGCACAGUGGUUAAGUAUCCACCUGCCAAUGCAGGGGACAUGGGUUUGAGCCCUGGUCCAGGAAGAUCCCACAUGCCGUGGAGCAACUAAGCUCAUACGCCACAACUACUGAGCCUGUGCUCUAGAGUCCGUGAGCCACAACUGCUGAGCCCGUGUGCCACAACUCCUGAAGCCUGCGUGCCUAGAGCCCGUGCUCCACAACAAGAGAAGCCACCGCAAUGAGAAGCCCGCGCACUGCAAUGAGGAGUAGCCCCCGCUCGCCGCAACUAGAGAAAGCCUGUGCGCAACAACAAAGACCCAACGCAGCCAAAAAUAAAUUAAUUAAUUAAAAAAAAUAAUAAUUACUGUCUUUUCAUCCCUUUGCCUUUUAUAAAAACAGAUUCUGUCCUUUUGCUAUUAACUGUUGAAAAAUAGUGGUUGUGGAGAUGGUGCACAUGAGCAUAUUUGUACUGAUUAAAUUAUUGGAAAACUCUUAA